GCCGCUGUGGUGGAAUUGGUAGACGCGUCUGACUCAAAAUCAGAUCUAGGCAACUAGGUAACAGUUCAAGUCUGUUCAGCGGCACCA
rnacentral:tRNA from 1 species